GAUAGUUUACAAGGGUAGCCACAACCAUCCUAAACCUCAAUCUACUAGGAGAUCAUCUUCUUCAUCAUCAUCAGUUUCCAAUCAAGCAAUUAUAGCUCCUAAUCCUGCAUCAAAUGAGAUGCAAGAUCAAUCACUUGUCAUCCAUGGCAGUGGACAGAUGGACUCUGUUGCAACACCUGAGAAUUCUUCAAUAUCCAUAGGGGACGAUGAUUUUGAUUCACAGAAGAGUAAAUCUAGAAGCGAUGACUUUGAUGAAGAUGAACCAGAGGCCAAAAG
rnacentral:misc_RNA from 1 species